UUGGAGCCUACUGUGGGGAAAAGGCGUGACUUUGUGGCUACAGCAAAUCAUUCUGUUUAAAAAACAGAAAGUAGCUUUACAACACCUGUUAAGGGAGGACUGGCUAAGGUGCAACAUUUUUACACAAGAUGACAAACUGUCUUUACUGAUAGUAAAGAUAAAGUGCUUUCACACUAAACCUUUGGGACACUUUGGACCGUCCCAGAGUCCGGUUUCUGGAGGGUAUCAACAACUGCCCGUCACGGCACAGUUUACUUGGACCCUGGAGCAGUUCUCUUGCAGUGUGAAUGCAGGCUUCAACACUUCAAGCCUACAAAAGUAAAUUAUGUUCAGUGCUUUUACUUCUCAACCUAGCUAUAUUCAGAAGGUAAUGUUUAAUUUGAUGGCAGGUACACACUAAAAAUGUGUUUGAGAGAAGCAUAUUUUGUUUUUCUAACAUUUCAAGCCAUAUUAUCAAAAAACAUUGAUCCUGAACAUUUUUUGUUAGAUACUUUUUGGAAAAUGUAAACAAAUCUGUCUGACAUUAUCCACAGGUGUUGUGUUUUGGUUCCGACUUGUUUUGGUAUUUUUUGUUGUACAAACAAGGCAUUAUGAUUCUACGCACCCUUUUGAACCACUAUAUUGAAAAUCGGUGUAUAACUCGAAAUUUCAAUAAUAUUACGUAGGGUGACACCUGCUGGCGAAGUGCUUCCUGUACAGCCAUUUUAAGGUGGCUGAGGCACCUUGCCUUUGCACUCUGAGGUUGGUCGUAUCGUGAAAAUCAAUUCAGGCUGAAAUUUGUAACUCAAUUAUGAGUGGAUAGGUUGUUUAUUUUCCUUGCAGUAUAAAGUAUGCUAAACUAUUUUUGAAUGUUCUUGAAAAUAAAAAGGUCACACUACAAUUAAAUCCUCCACAUAACAUACAUAACAAUUGAAAUACAGCCAUUUUCAGUAUAGAUCAAUAAUCCAGAAUAAUAUUACUAGAAGCUAUGUACUGUGAAAUAUAAUGGAAGAAUGAAUGAUAAUGAUAAACAGUUUGUUUUGGACAACCACCCGUAUGACACAACGGACAUGAUUGUGUUUGGUGGGUUUGUAUUUUUUUUUUUUUCAGAAGGAGAAAUCACUUCUAUAAUGACAUGGCACCCAAUGACAUUAUGGGGUGUUCUCCAUCCAAAGGAGGGGAUCCUGCAUGGUGCCCAAAAAACCAACCCAGCACACUUAAAUAUUUUGGCAUUACCGGAAGCCCGUGCCUAGAAACAAAUAACAUAAUAAUGCACAGAUGUGAAGUUUUGUUGAAUAUUCAGAACCAAACAAUCAGGCACAACUGGCGGGAACCAUGGGUAGACUUGGCAAAUUGACACCCCUGGACUUUCUCAUGAAUAGAACCAGUACAUGGAUUUGUACCAACAGACAUUUCUGGAUAUCUGUGUGUCAAAAAAUAAGACUGAUGUUUUCAAGAAAAAAGCUUCUCUCCAUGAUUUUCUUUCAUGCAUUUCUACUCUUUGAGUGGCCCUUUAUUUCAUUUCUGUUGGGGCAAGUUUUGUCUGGGUCUUGAUAAAACUUGUAUAUAUAAACUAUGUAUAUUGUGUAUAUAUUAUAUGUUGUAUAUACAAACUAUACAACAGUCUGUUCUCCAAUCAAAGUGUGUGCUAUUGGUAUCAUCUUUAAACAUUUUCUGUAGGGAUUUUAACUGAUGGGGAUUAAAAUGUAACACAGAACCACCGUUUAAUUUUCUUCACUCUCCCUGUCAGUAUUUGUCCUCCAACUAUCAUCAUCCUGAAUAAACAAAUGU